ensembl:lncRNA
CCAAACCCAUGGACCCCAUGGAUGUGGGGCAGCCAAACCCAUCGUCCAAUGCCAGCGUCCAACGCUGACCCACGGCGUGCUGGGCAAUCAAACCCACGGACCCCACAUAUGUGGGGCAGCCAAACCCGAUGUCCAACGUUGACCCACGGCGUGUGGGGCAGCCAAACCCAUAGUCCUGAGGGAUGUGGGGCAGCCAAAGCCAUCGUCCAAUGACAGCAUCCAAUGCUGACCCAUGGCAGGCUGGGCAAUUAAACCCAUGGACCCCAUGGAUGUGGGGCAGCCAAACCCGAUGUCCGACGUUGACCCACGGCGUGUGGGGUGGCCAAACCCAUCGUCCUGAGGGAUGUGGGGCAGCCAAACCCAAGGUCUGAUGUUGACCCACAGCGUGUGGGGUGGCCAAACCCAUGGACCCCAUGGAUGUGGGGCGGCCAAACCCAACAUCCAACGUUGACCCACGGCGUGUGGGGUGGCCAAACCCAUGGACCCCAUGGAUGUGGGGCGGCCAAACCCAAGGUCCAACGUUGACCCACGGCGUGUGGGGCAGCCAAACCCAUAGUCCUGAGGGAUGUGGGGCAGCCAAAGCCAUCGUCAUGAGAGAUGUGGGGCAGCCAAAGCCAUCGUCAUGAGAGAUGUGGGGCAGCCAAAGCCAUCGUCAUGAGAGAUGUGGGGCAGCCAAAGCCAUCGUCAUGAGAGAUGUGGGGCAACCAAAGCCAUCGUCAUGAGAGAUGUGGGGCAGCCAAAGCCAUCGUCCGAGGACAGCACCAACGUCCUGAUGGCCGAAGCCACUGUCCAGUGUAGAACCUCCCCAUUAAUGGUGGCCAACCCAACGUCCAGCGUCGAACCUCGGCAUUUUGGGGUGGCCAAAAUCCACAUCCGACACCAGCCCCAGGGAUUUGGGGCGGCCGAACCCAACGUCCGAAGACAACGUCGACGUUCUCAUGACCAAACCCAUGGUGCAAAGCAGAAUCUCGCCGUUCUGGGUGGCCAAACCCAUCAUUCAGAAUCGAAUCUCGCCGUUCUGGGUGGCCAAACCCAACGCCCAACGCCAAGCCUCGGCAUUCAGGGAGGCAAAACUCAACGUCCAAUGGAUUUGGGGCGGCCGAACCCAACGUCCGAAGACAACGCCGACGUCCUCAUGACCAAACCAAUGUCCCAAGUUGAAUUUCGCCAUUCUGGGUGGCCAAACCCAUCAUCCAAAAUCGAAUCUCACCAUCAAGGGUGGCCAAACCCAACGCCCAACGCCGAACCUUGGCAUUUUGGGGUGGCCAAACUCAACAUCCGACGACAGCCCCAGGGAUUUGGGGCGGCCGAACCCAACGUCCGAAGACAACGCCGACGUUCUGAUGACUGAAGCCAUUGUCCCAAGUUGAACCACUCCAUUCAGGGUGGCCAAACCCAACGCCCGACACCAAACCUUGGCAUUUUGGGGUGGCCAAACUCAACAUACGAAGACAACGCCGACGUCCUCAUGACCCAAACCAAUGUCCAAAGUAGAACCUCGCCAUUCUGGGUGGCCAAACCCAACGCCCAACGCCGAACCUUGGCAUUUUG